rnacentral:rRNA from 1 species
AAUACAUGCAAGUCGAGCGGACAGAAGGGAGCUUGCUCCCGGAUGUUAGCGGCGGACGGGUGAGUAACACGUGGGUAACCUGCCUGUAAGACUGGGAUAACUCCGGGAAACCGGAGCUAAUACCGGAUAGUUCCUUGAACCGCAUGGUUCAAGGAUGAAAGACGGUUUCGGCUGUCACUUACAGAUGGACCCGCGGCGCAUUAGCUAGUUGGUGGGGUAAUGGCUCACCAAGGCGACGAUGCGUAGCCGACCUGAGAGGGUGAUCGGCCACACUGGGACUGAGACACGGCCCAGACUCCUACGGGAGGCAGCAGUAGGGAAUCUUCCGCAAUGGACGAAAGUCUGACGGAGCAACGCCGCGUGAGUGAUGAAGGUUUUCGGAUCGUAAAGCUCUGUUGUUAGGGAAGAACAAGUGCGAGAGUAACUGCUCGCACCUUGACGGUACCUAACCAGAAAGCCACGGCUAACUACGUGCCAGCAGCCGCGUUAAUA